UACGUAGGGGGCAAGCGUUAUCCGGAAUUACUGGGUGUAAAGGGAGCGUAGGCGGCAUGGUAAGCCAGAUGUGAAAGCCCGGAGCUUAACUCCGAGGAUUGCAUUUGGAACUAUCAAGCUAGAGUACAGGAGAGGAAAGCGGAAUUCCUAGUGUAGCGGUGAAAUGCGUAGAUAUUAGGAAGAACACCAGUGGCGAAGGCGGCUUUCUGGACUGAAACUGACGCUGAGGCUCGAAAGCGUGGGGAGCGAACAGG
rnacentral:rRNA from 1 species